rnacentral:lncRNA from 1 species
CUCCACCCCGGAAUACAACACAAAUAAAAACUAAGGGUCUGUUUCAUUAUAAUUUUUGAAAACUGUUUUCUGCUUUUAGAAACUGAAAAUUUAAAAACACCCUACAUCAAUUAUUCAAGCAUCCGAAAUACAAAAAUCAACAAUGACAAAUAUGUAGGUUUUUUGGUACAAAAUGACAAAUAUGUAGGUGACAAAUAAACAAAGAUGUUAUUAAUUUUAAAAAUUGUCAUCAUUAUCACCAGCCCUUUUACUACUAAUGCUCAAAGCCAUGCUGGGUUCUUCAAGGGCGUAACAACAGCCUUCACUUGCAAGUAGUUCUUAAGACUGUACUCUCC